ACGCUCGACACCUACGGGAGGUAGCAGUGGGGAAUAUUGCACAAUGGGGGAAACCCUGAUGCAGCGACGCCGCGUGGAGGAAGAAGGUCUUCGGAUUGUAAACUCCUGUUGUUGGGGAAAAAGAGGAUGGUACCCAACAAGGAAGUGACGGCUAACUACGUGCCAGAGCCGCGGUAAUCUGAGCGGGCGUGGCGAAGGC
rnacentral:rRNA from 1 species